GAUCAGGCUCAGGGCGAACGCUGGCGGCGCGCCUAACACAUGCAAGUCGAACGAGCGAGAGAGAGCUUGCUUUCUCAAGCGAGUGGCGAACGGGUGAGUAACGCGUGAGGAACCUGCCUCAAAGAGGGGGACAACAGUUGGAAACGACUGCUAAUACCGCAUAAGCCCACGACCCGGCAUCGGGUAGAGGGAAAAGGAGCAAUCCGCUUUGAGAUGGCCUCGCGUCCGAUUAGCUAGUUGG
rnacentral:rRNA from 1 species